UACGAAGGGGGCUAGCGUUGUUCGGAGUCACUGGGCGUAAAGGGCGCGUAGGCGGCUUUAUAAGUCGGGGUUGAAAGCCUGUGGCUCAACCACAGAAUUGCCUUCGAUACUGUAGAGCUUGAGACCGGAAGAGGUAAGUGGAACUGCGAGUGUAGAGGUGAAAUUCGUAGAUAUUCGCAAGAACACCAGUGGCGAAGGCGGCUUACUGGUCCGGUUCUGACGCUGAGGCGCGAAAGCGUGGGGAGCAAACAGG
rnacentral:rRNA from 1 species